rnacentral:sRNA from 1 species
GAAACCCUUUAAUACAGUUACUCAUGUGGUAACCCCAACCAUAAAAUUAUAUCGUUGCUCCUUCAGAACUAAAACUUUGCCAGCGAUAUGAAUCAUAAUGCAAAUAUCUGUGUUUCCCAAUACUCUUAAGUGACCCCCCCCAAAGGAAUCUCAACCCACAGGUUGAGAACUGCUGUCCUAGAAGAUACUGCUGGUGGGUGGUGCUGGUGGCCAUAUCCCAUCCCCCAGCCAGACAACCAAACCCCUCUAGAUGGAGCCAGCUGUCUUUUUAGCCAGUGCAGAAUCGCCCCAUGUGCGCAUGACUAUAGGCCUUACUUCCCAUAGACAAACCCACAGUUGGGCUGGAUUCAUUUCCUUCAGGGCCCCAAGGGAGGAACAACUGAGAACACAGCUGCCCCGUGGGAGGGGCCUGAGCCAGUGUCAAGGACAGUUCACAGGCAAUGGGAAUCAGUUCAUCAGUGAGGAGGUAAGAGCCCUUGUAAUCUAUACACUUCCCCCAAACACCCUCUCUGAGUCCUGUUGCACUGGGGAUAAGUCUUCGACAUGAGCUAUCGGGGUUGGAACACCAACUCCACUGUUGUAUGAGCUCUGCUUAACAUCUAAGGUGUCCUGGGCCUCAGUUGCUUCACCUGCAACAAAGACAGUGAGGCUACUGUUACAGAAAUGGAUACAGACAGCAUCUACCUAUCCAGAACCCCUCAAGUGCGGCAGGCUGGCAUCUCUGAAUGCUACCACUGGCAUAUGGGCUUGGUUCAACUGACCGGUAGAAUGGGCCCUAUCUGGAGCAUCCGACUCCACCUGGGGUGGCCUGUCACUUGGGCAGUGACUCUGGCUAUCACAGGGACCAAAUGACCUGAGUCCCGGGAUAUACUGUAUUCCUCGGGCUUCUUGGUCCAUUCAGCUCACCUUGGAAAGCUAUCUAAUACCUCUUGCCAAAUGAAAAACAACCCCAGAGACUUUGGAGGUAACCAUGGCAACUGUCUUCUAAACUGGAUUAUUGUUACUUUAUCAGAAAGUUCUCUUCCUCCAGUAUCCCAAUGCCCUGAAGUUGGAUGAAUUUUUAAAUGUGCUUUUAUUGUAUCUCGGAGCUAAAUCUUUUCUGUGUGCAGCAGAGAUCUGUCCUCAAAUCACGAUGAAAGCUGACAGGAGACUAAGAUUUUUUUCUUCAAAGCUCAGCUUUCUUCUCCACUGCAACUCACAACUGCCAUCUACCAGAGCACCAUACCUUCUGUGUCAAAGGAUUCCUUUAGGCUUCUGCGUCUGCUGGCCCAGGAGUGGAGAUUGUGGGGUCCCGACACAGAGACCUGACCUACUGGCUCUGCAGCUGAUGGCUCAGGACGCCGAGCAGAGGUGAAUAUAUGAAUGGUUGAAGCCAUUCUGGAUUGUUUUAGCAGUGGAUGGUACAUGAGACUGCUUUCUCUUUGGUUUCCAGGUUCCAGAUUCUGAUAGGGGUAGCCUACGAAGCUCAGAGCCCACGGACUAGCUGUGUCUUACAAGUGCUCUGUGACUGAAUGAAUGUACUGGCUCUGCUAAUUAAUUCCUUGCUGUGUCUCUUGCAAGUUUUAGAUGACAGAAUGAUUAUUGGAGUUCAUUAUGAGCUACAAAGUGCUCCUAAGUGCAUGGGAGUGUUGUGUUGGAUGGCAGUAAGAAGUUCACCAGCAGCUCGCCGGGCCUGUCAGCUAAAUGGCCUACAAACUCAGCCUGGCUCAGGACUGCCAUACUUGCACAAGGAGCCGAAGUCAGAAGUUGGCCUUGUUGAUCGACAUAUUUUCCAUACACACCUGUCAGUCAUUUACAAAGACUUGAACCCAAGGCCCUGUCUACUUGAAGUCUUGAAGAGGACCUGGCUCUCUAAUCCUGGGAAGGACUGGAAUUAAAUGUGUGUACAACCAUGCCUGGCUACAGCAGCGUAAUUUCAAGAGUUCCAAAUUGGAUGCAGCCCAAGCAUCCUCCUCAGACAGAACAAGUAGAGAUAAAUUCAAAUGAUAGAACGUUGCAGACAACGACAAGAAAGAAGCUAGUUAUACCAACAGCGUGGAUGAAAUUUGCAAACAAAGCCAAGUAAAGAAGACCGUGGAGUGUUUGUGUUCUCUGAGUUUGUCCAUAGAUCGAAAUAGAGAUGGAGACAGGAACUCUGAAAUCAGGCAGCUGAUGCACGACGCUAUGCAUUUGUCACAACCCAUGGAAAUUUAUGUCACGAACACUGAACUUUAAUAUAUACAAGGCUUUUUUCUUUCUCCCUUUUUAAAAAAAUAAAUUAGGAUGGCAAAACACAAUGUUAUCUGUAACAAAUAAAUAUGUUAGAAAUACAUUGCGUGACAAAACUGAAGCAUUGCGGGAUGGUGAGAGCUGACCUGAGAAAGGCUGGAAAACGAUGCAGCACUAACGACAAAAUGACCCGUCCUCAAGGAUCCUAUAACUGAGAACUGAACCUAGGAUGGACUGUACCAGAGGAUUAGCCAGUACCUGAAGACUGGCCAUACCCGAGGACAGAACUUUAGCUGACCAUUUUGCUUCUCAUUGGGACAUAGGCUGGCUAUUCUAAAGUUACAUUAUAAGCAAUCUAGAAUUGAACAUAUACGUUAGUAAGUGGUAAGAUUUCGGAAGCCAGAUUUCUCCCCAUAACAGAGACAUGCACAUACAGGGCGGUAAGGCUAGGAUGUAUGCACUGACAUUGGAUUCAGGCCAGGGUAUAAUAGGGAUACAGAAGGAGGCAAAAAUAAUUACAACUCUGGAUGCACAGAGGGGUUACGUACAGUCGUACCUUUCUUAGUUGUGUCCAUCGACAGUUGCAUGAUUUGGCCAAGCUGUGGGCUUAAACAAGUGCUCUGAGUACAUUCGGGGCAGGCUGGGCAUCUUUUAUUUUCUUUUAUUUUUCUUGGAUAUUUUAUGUAUUCACAUUUCAAAUGUUAUCCCCUUUCU